rnacentral:lncRNA from 1 species
CAGAGCUUCAUGCAUCCAUUCUUCUGGUAUACCAAGUUCUACAAUGUACUGCCUUUGAGCAUCAUCUCUACUCCAUGACUCGCAAUACUGUGAUAAAACUUCUAAGCUCGGAGGGAUCCCGAGACCAGCAGAGAACCUCAGAAAUCGCCUGCUCGUUCUUCAUCCCUUCGACUCUCCGCAACACAAAAGCGGGAGGCAGCGACUUGCCCUCCUCCUGUGCCAGGGUCAACCACGCCUGCCUUUCCAAUUCGGCAUCAUCCUCAACGAUGACCCCCUCCCACUCGAAGAUGACGCCGAGCCACUCUCAGCACAUGCGCUCGAGGCGGAGCAGCGGGUUGUGCAGUGGGUUACCUUGCUAACUACAAAAUAUAAGUCCAGAUGGCAGGUAAUAAGCUAGCUGAUGUAAACAAAAGGAAAUAAGAAAUGGCAGCCGUGCAGACAAUCAAGCCCCAGAAUGAGACACUGGAGAUGUCGUAAAUUGUCCGUCUUUGAACGCGUGAAUGUACUGUUGGGGCAAGGAAUGCUCGGCCUGCAAAAGUUUUAGCAAAAAUGAGAGAAUGGUCAAGACCAGCGUAUAUAUAUUUUUUAUACAGAAAGAAACUAUGGUCUCCUUUCAGUUCAAUUUCGCCAUGUUCUCCCAGAAUGGUUUGUGUAAGUGCUGGAUGGUGAAAUAUGAAGUUGAGAGCCUUGGAAAAGCAAAAGUGGAACCAAAGUUUCAGUUUACUUAAUUAAAAUUUCAGAUGGCAGGUAAUAAGCUAGCUGAUGUAAACAAAAGGAAACAAGAAAUGGUGAAAAUUUUGAGCCGUUCUAAUAUCUAGUUACCUUGCUAACUACAAAAUAUAAGUCCAGAUGGCAGGUAAUAAGCUAGCUGAUGUAAACAAAAGGAAAUAAGAAAUGGCAGCCGUGCAGACAAUCAAGCCCCAGAAUGAGACACUGGAGAU